AGUGAACGCUGGCGGUAGGCCUAACACAUGCAAGUCGAACGGCAGCACAGUAAGAGCUUGCUCUUACGGGUGGCGAGUGGCGGACGGGUGAGGAAUACAUCGGAAUCUACUUUUUCGUGGGGGAUAACGUAGGGAAACUUACGCUAAUACAGCAUACGCCCUACGGGUGAAAGCAGGGGAUCUUCGGACCUUGCGCGAAUGAAUGAGCCGAUGUCGGAUUAGCUAGUUGGCGGGGUAAAGGCCCACCAAGGCGACGAUCCGUAGCUGGACUGAGAGGAGGAUCAGCGACACUGGAACUGAGACACGGUCCAGACUCCUACGGGAGGCAGCAGUGGGGAAUAUUGGACAAUGGGCGCAAGCCUGAUCCAGCCAGACCGCGUGGGUGAAGAAGGCCUUCGGGUUGUAAAGCCCUUUUGUUGGGAAAGAAAAGCAGCAGGUUAAUACCCCGCUGUUCUGACGGUACCCAAAGAAUAAGCACCGGCUAACUUCGUG
rnacentral:rRNA from 1 species